rnacentral:tRNA from 2 species
CUCCGCGUAGCUCAGCUUAGUAGAGCGCCUGAUUUGGGAUCAGGAGGUCGAGUGUUCGAAUCACUCCGUGGAGACCA